UGACUGACCGAUAGUGAACCAGUACCGUGAGGGAAAGGCGAAAAGAACCCCGGCGAGGGGAGUGAAAAAGAACCUGAAACCGUGUACGUACAAGCAGUGGGAGCACCCUUUGGGUGUGACUGCGUACCUUUUGUAUAAUGGGUCAGCGACUUAUAUUCUGUAGCAAGGUUAACCGAAUAGGGGAGCCGGAGGGAAACCGAGUCUUAACCGGGCGUUAAG
rnacentral:rRNA from 1 species